CCUGGUUGAUCCUGCCCGUAGCCUAUGCUUCUCUCAUGAUCAAGUCAUGCAUGUGUAAGUACACAUGGGUGGUACACCAAAACUGCAAAUGGCUCAACAUAUCACUUAUGGUCCUUUGAUUGCUCCAUCUAUCACUUGGAUAACUGUGGAAAUUAUAGAGCUAAUACAUGCUGAGGAGCUCGGACCUACCCAGAUGCGUGCAUUCAUCAGACCAAGACCAAUAGACGCCCGUCCGGCUGCUUUGGUGACUCUAGAUAACCUCUGGCCAAUUACACAUCCCUUUGACGGCUAUGAUACAUUCAGAUGUCUUCCCUAUCAACUUUUGAUGGUACUUUGUGUGCCUACCAUGGUGACCAUGGGUAAUGGGGAAUCAGGAUUUGAUUCUGGAGAGGGAGCCUGAGAAACAGCUAACACAUCCAAGGAAGGCAGCGGCGUGGAAAUUACCCACUCCUGACUCGGGGAGGUAGUGAUGAAAAAUAAUAAUACAGGACUCUCUCGAGGCCCAGUAAUUAGAAUGGGUGGACUCUAAAUCCUUUAAUGAGGAUGCAUUGAUUGGCAAGUCUAGUGCCAGCAGCCGCUGUAAUUCCAGCUCCAAAUAGAGUAUGUUAAAAUUGCUGCAGUUGAAAAGCUCAUAGUUUUAUAUUGGGAUGAAGCUGGUGGUCUGCCGUGAGGUGAGCUAGCACAUGUCCCAUUCCCUGCCUCUCAGUGCACCCUUGAUGCUGUUGACUGAGUGUCCUGGGGGUUCAAAGCAUAUACUUUGAAAAAAUGAGAGUGUUUCAAAGCUGGCCGGUCCCCUGAAUACUUCAUAUAGGUGUAAUGGAAUAGAACUCGGGUUCUACUUUGUUCUUUUUUCAGGACUGCGGCCAUGAUUUACAGGGAUGGCUAGGGGCAUUCCUAUUGUGCCGCUAGAGGUGGAAUUCUUUGACUGGCACAAGACGAACAAAAGCAAAAGCAUUUGCCAAGAAUGUUUUCAUUCAAGAACGGAAGUCAGAGGUUUGAAGACGUUCAGGUGCAGUCAUAGUUCCGACCAUAAACAAUGCUGACUAGAGAUCUGGCAGUGUAGUUCCUUGACCCGCUGAGCAGCAUCCAGGAAACCAAAGUCUUUGGGUUAUGGCAAGAGUGUUUGCAAAGCUGGAGGAACUUAAAGGAAUUGAUGGAAGAGCACCACCAGGAGUGGAGGUUGUGGCUUAAUUUGACUAAACGCGGGAAACCUCACCUGGCCCAGAUACAGAAAGAAUUAACAGAUGGAUAGGACUUUCUCAAUUCUGUGGAUGGUGGUGCAUGGCAGAUCUUAGUUGGUGGAGGGGUUUUUCUGGUUAAUUUGAUAAGAAAUGAGACUCCUCCAUGCUAUCUAGUUAUUUGACCCACAGCAGUCGGUUUUCAACUUCUUAGAGCGGUGGGCUCAGUCACACAAGAUUGAGCAACAACACGCCUUGAUGCCCUUAAAUGUCCUGAUCUGCAUGUGCACCACACUGAACGGAUCAGCAGAUGUCAACGCAUGGAUAAACUUCUGAAUUGCAAUAAUUUCCCAUGAAGCAGGAAUUCACUGUAAGUGCGCGGUCAUGGGCUUGUGUUGAUUAGUCGCUGUACGUUGGUACACACUGCGCAUUGCUAUUAAUGAUUGAAUGGUUUAGUGAAGUCCUCAGAUCAGCCCCACCGGGGUCAGCAACAGCCUUGGUGGAGUGCCAAAAAGACAUUCAAACUUGACUAUCUUGAGUAAGUAAAGUAAAGGUCAUAACAAGGUUUUCAUAGUGGACCUGCGGAAG
rnacentral:rRNA from 1 species